rnacentral:lncRNA from 1 species
AAAAUUAAAAUUUUUAAGUAUAUUAUUGUCACGACCCGACUCCAUUGGCCGGACCGGCACUAGGGCCCAGGUAAGCUUAAGGCCCCCGAGGCCCGUAGUAAGCCUGAAACACUAGAAUCUAUUACCUCGGUAUAAAUUUCAACAUUUUAUUAGUUCUCGGCCCAAGUUUUUCUUCUACAGCAUUCUAUAGUUUGAGCCCAGUUUACAAUACAUCACAUUCUAAUAGGGCUUACAGAAUUAUUUUGUCUACGUUAGUACACGACUAAAUAUAGGUAAAUCCUACAACUGCGGAGUCACUAACUCUUUGGUAUACAUAGCUUUUUAUACACAUAAUUACAUAGUAAAAUAAUUAUGGAACUAGGAAAAUUUCUCUAUUGCCCUGCGCCGAAGAAACAUAGCCUAAAUCGGAUUAAAGAAAAACUUACUUCCUGAAACAAAAUCAAACAAGUCAUGUGAGUUUUCUAAGGAGUAAUAAUUAUUGCACAACACACGCAGUCACACAAAUGUGUAAACAUAUCAAUCUAGUCAUCCGACUAGUUAUAUGCUCACGCAGCCAGUCACACAAAUGGCAUGUCACCAGCACUCACAAACAAUAUCACCUUCAAAUAAUCACAUCACGUGGAAAUUAGUCAGUGGCACCACCUGAAACCCCAACGAGCCGUCCUCACACAUGGCUCGCCCUCUCAUACAUGUGCACCAGGGAGCCGAUCCCCCAUAC